GAAGAUAAUGGAGGAGAAAACGCAAAGCUAAUUGAAGAUGUCGCUAUCAUCGCUUGACCCAUAAUAAUACGCUGUCAGUUUUCAGCAAUGGAGGUGAAAACUGCCAAACUUUGCCACUAGUUGCGCUGGUAUCGCUUAACCCAUAACAAAAUAUGCAAACAAACGUGAAAUCCCCUACUUAAUUAUUAUAACACAAGAUAAAACAUUUUGGAAGUGAAACUCUGUAUCGGCGUUGGAAAAAAAAUUACGUUACGUGACGCCGUGAAAAGAAAAGGUGGUCUGAAAAGGUAUGCGGAGACUGAUCCACUUGCAUGUAAUUUGUAAAAAGACUGUACUCAUGGCUCAAAAAGUGUAUUCAAAUGCGUUAAGCCCUUCCUUACUACUUAAAAAAAGAAGGCGUUUUUUGCUAUCAAAAAAAAUUGCUAUCAAAGUAGCACAAGAUACUUACCUAACAAGAUUGGUUUCUUCAUGCAAUCCCCAAAGGAUCUACUCGGAAACCUUUAUGAUAAUAACAAUAAUAACCUUGGUGAUAAUUUUUGUUUCAUUUUGAAAGUUAGACAAAAAUAUCUGUAUUAUCAAAACGUAACUUUUCCAGAAGUUUUUAUCAAAACCAUGCUUUUCCAAAAAUGUUUAAUCAAAACCUCACAUUUCCAAAGUAUUGGCUAAUAUUCUCAUAAAUUUUAACAGUAAUUUGGUACAUAGGUUGACUGAAACACUUUGUUUAAUAUGACAUAAUUAAAACAAUGCUGUAGUAAUAAUUUGUUAGCUAUUUUACAUUUUGCUGUUUUCCUUAAAGUUAGAAAAAGUGGAAAAGUGAGGUUUUGUUCUUCACCUCUUCAAUUAGAUUCAACAGAUCAUCAGUUAUCUUAUGUCGUAGGGAUUUUCUAAUUAUUUAAUAUUGUGGUUGUGAGAAAUGCUCAUUUUUAAAUUAUAUAUCGAUUAAGCACUAUCCUAAAUUAUUCAUUAAGAAAUAGGAAACUCCUGAUGAGACUCAUAAAUAAGAAAUAUUUAAGUUUAAUAAGUUAGUUUUAUUAUUACAGUUGUUAUGCUAUUUUAAACAACUUAAAUAAUUUCUUUGCCAAAAAAAAACACCAUCAAGAAAAAAAAUUACAUUAGAUGAUUUUGGUCUUUUCAUUGUCCUAAAUAAUACGGACUUGAAGGAAACUCUUAGCCGAAUUAAAUAGACAGAAAUUUUCACUGUGGUCAAAUCACUCAAAUAUAAUUUGUCACAAAAGUUUUCCAUGUUAAAAAAUGUGGUUCAAAAAGGAAUCAUGAAAAGACAUAAUUGUAACCUGGAUAUUAAGGUACUUAAACAUUAUGAGUGAAAUCUAGUAUGUGUAUGUAGGUGGACCUGUUGAUUUUCUAAUGAAUUUAUAUAGUCUUGGUUUAUUUUUAUUUUGGAGAUUUAUAGACCAAGAGCCAAAUAAUAUUGUUAAUUUGACUGAGACCUUUAUAUCUAUCUUUGUUGAAAACUGGUAAAAACAGUGAACAUAUUGACCACCUUGAAGAUAGGGUCUUGGGAUAGAGAUUGAUGUGUGACGCUGAAUUGAUAAAAUGAUGAUUGAUUUACAUAAUGAGUCAGAUACUGAAUCUGACAGAUACAAAAUUCAAGUUCUUCUGAUUCAGAUGAAUAAGACUUUCACACACUUUCAUCACAGUUAUUCCAAAUAAAUAUUAUAAAUUCAAA